CCACGUCGUCCUCCUACUCCUCCUCAAUUCCACUUGUCAGUGCGGUGGACCCAACGGGCGUCGAGGGCGUGCGGACGGAGGUGGCGCAGAUCCAGGGUGGCCACAACAAUGGGCGCCCCCACCCCCUUCAUGCGCCACUGCCCAAUCCUCCUCUGAAUCUGUGGAAUGCAGAAGGGAUCCCAAUCAUGUUCGUGGGUCAUCGGACGAUCCACCGUCCCAGCUCCCUUAGCAUGCUGCCUACACUUCCUCUUCUUCGCCGCAAUAGUUGGAUCACCAGUUCAUCUAUUCGUUCGUGGACUGUCGCCGACUGCAUCCUGCUAGGGAGUUGCUCUGUUGCGAGGCUGGCUGUCCUAAUGGGAGGCUACUCCCGUGGCCGAAACGCAGUAUGCUGGUUGAUUAGGCCCAAGCGACCGGCCCAUUAAGCACCGAGGGAUGACGAGCGUUUGUGCGACACCGGUGCAGGUGCGAAGGCGACGGUUCGAGAGCGACUCCCCUGUUCUCCCCCAUCUACGGCGACGGCAGCACCAACAAUCGGAACCCCGCGGCGACCCCCUUCGCCCCAGCCUCCUCAUGCAGCAGCAUGGACGAUUGGGAUGGAGCUGCCGCCACCGUUCCUGGGCCACUUUGUAAGUUCGCGGAUUUCCUGCUCUACUCCUCACCUGGUCUUUCUCGGUUUUGAAUUCUAGGUGUUGUGUUUGUACUCUCCUAAAUGAUUUUGUGGAUGGACCUCACGUACUCGAAAAAGUAUGUUGUGACUGAAUCAAGAACAAGUAUAAUAUUUUCACUCCGAUGUCCAAUCUAUCACGAUGGUUCUUGAUCGACUGGUUAGAGAGAUAGAAAGCAAACAGAUGAUGGAGAAAAGCAUGAUGGGGCCGAGUAACAAGCACACCUGAUCCUCGUUGUGUGAUCUAAACACGGUUUGUUGUUUCUUCCUACUGAGAACUACAUGGACGUCAUGACAAGUUGUAAGAUUGAUUAGUUUGUGUUGGAUUUCCUCAUGACCGACUACCUUUCUUUGAACCCUUAAUACAGACACUAGAAUCUCUCACUGCAGGCGCAACAGAUGAAACUUUACUAUUGCAGGUGUGUGUCUUUGCAAGGUUAGCCCGAUACUCCAUUUUACAUUCAGUUAAAUGCAAUACCAUAUUUAUCAAUUGUUAAUAAUCUGAUUGCUGCUUCUACAUAAAAAGGUGAUUUUUUUUUUCAAAAUUAUUUCAUUGUUUAUGUUGAUUGAUGACAGAACAAACACUGGGAUUAUGGGCAAAUUAAUGACGAGCAUGAUUCUUGCACCUCCUAUUUCUUUGAGGCUUCAUGUCUUCACGAUCUUCUCAUUCAUGAGACCGGGCUGGAGCAAUGGAUCCUCCUCUUUUUUCUUCUUGAUUGAAUCCCGCACCAUUUUUUUCCAUGGUUGGAUCCCAUUAUGGGCGUGUUUACCUUGAUCAUCUCUUAUUGUUUUUUUUCUUCCAGUAUGUUCUUUUUGUAGCUUCAAAUGAAUGGAAGGCUGAAGGGUGAUAUAAGAAAUUAUUAUGGUAGUCACGAGGACAUCAGGCAAGAGGUAAUUGGUUUCAAGUGCCAUUAAUCAGACUGUAUCUAUUGUUUCAUACGAAUCCAUAUUGUUUAUGACGACCAACAAAAAUGAUGGCAUGAUAGAUAGACAGUGGUUCGGUAAUGAAAGGGACAUGAAUAGUUAACUAAUUGCUUAGCACAAGCCAAGUUUUUGCGGGAUAUGUGCACCAAGCAUUACAAUUAUUUUUCUAGCGGUAGCAUAAUUUCCGCACAUAAUUUUCUUCAACUGCUUGAUGGAAGGAACACACAGGAAUGUACAAGAGGAUGGUGUGCUAUUGAGAUGUUAAAAAGGUACCUUCUGGAUGUCAUUCCUUGUAUUUGAAUCUGUGAUGUCAAGUGUAGCCCUGGACAUGUACUCUUUAUUCCAUACAUUUGCAUGGCCACGAACACAUAUUGUAAGGCCACUGCACCAAUAUUUUUUUUCAUAUUUUUCAUCUUGGCAUGGCCUUUAGUGCAUCAUUGUUCUUGAUGAAAGUUUCAUUUCCAUGCUUCAUGUCAUAAUUUAUUUCUUUAAAUUCCUACCAUUUACCAAAUGGACGGGCGCGGCAAUGCGCGCCAUCAUGGUCUACUAUGUGUCAUAAAUCCUGUCGUCUUCAACGAUCCGGCGCCCCUAUCACACUGUGUAGCACUUGUCUAACCUGUACAGCGGGAGGCAAGCGAGCACCCGAAGAUGAUAAGGUGACACAUGUGACAAUUUUUCUGAAUCAAAUGUGAUUUUGCUAAUUUGUUGUAUCUUUUUUCACAAGUAUUUGCAAAGGUAAAGAUAGUGGAUAGUACCAACAUUUAUUCCACCUUUUCAUUUUUCAUUAUGUACAUGUGCUUCCAGACGAAUAGCGCGAUAGGUGUCAGGUAUUCAUGGUCUGUUCUUUGUUUCAUUAUUUUCAUACGAUGUAGUAUUUAUAUUCUGUUGCAUUAUUCAUACAUGAUAUUCUUUGCAAUGACUGUAAAUGCAAAGGGAGAUCUCAGUUUCCUUGGCAAAUUCUGGACAUGCUAAUCCCCAUCCACCUCCUUAGUUCAGAGUCAUUGUUCUAUAUUAGUGGAGAUUAAAAAUAAUUCUGACUAUCCUUUCCGGAAAUUAGUUGGUGGUGUCAAGUGUAGACUAAGAUUUGAUCUGGCUAUACUUUCCACAAUUAUGUACAUCUCAUCCGUAAGAUAGAAAGAGAUCAAUUGAUAGCAUAUAUUUCAGUAAAAGGUAAAUUACAGCCUUUGUUGAACCAUUGAUUUGCAAGUAUCUAAGAUCAAGACUGGCCUACUAAAUGAGGAACCAACAUCGCUGAGAUUCAACAUUCAGGAAUGUAUCACAUACGGAAAAUCCUCUAAAACCGACUAGACUGUUAGAAUUGUUUUUGAUAGUCUUUUGUUUGAAUUUUGAAGUGUGAAUAAGCAGGAAACCUUUGAGAGAUAUCAGUGCAUCAUUUCUUAUACAAUUUCUAUUAACUUUUUCUGAAUGGAUGAUCUUUAUUUUAACUAUUAACUUGGUUGUCAUCCAGGAGUUACGUUUUUGUAAUCUAGAAUAUCAUCCUAUAGUUUUUAAAUUGUUUGCAUAGCGUGAAAGUGUUUAUUUUAAUAAGGCACAAAUAUGUACUCUCUCCGUCCCAAAAUAAGUUACUCGACUUUGUACUAACUUUAGCACAAAGCCGACUCACUUAUUUUGGAACGGAUGGAGUAGCACAUAAAGGAGAUGCAUGCUGUUCUAAAUGGAUACUUUUUCUCUUUGUUGGUUAGCUUCACGAACCAAUAAUUCUGAUAGCCAGUAAUCUGCUCACGUCAUUCCUUAUUAUACAAUUUUCCAUCCUACAAUAGUAGUACACUUUCUCCGGUGCUAAUAUGUUGAUAUCAUGGUGACAUCUUUAGCUCAUGUUUAAUCUUGCCAGAACUAAGCUGGUUUAUAAAGUAUUAAAUUCCCUCUGUAUUUUAUUAUUAUGAAUCUAAUGCUUUAUUGAUUUGUUUUUGGCUUCGAGAUGUCCUACAACAAUAUACAUAAUAGGAAUCUCUCUGAAUCGUAGUUCUACUUUAGAAUAAGCCGCAAGAAAGUGAGUGGGAUAAAACUGUUGCCAUUAUCGAUAUACUCUUCCAGCUCGUAGGCGGUGCCCGCUGUAACUCCCAUGUGUGGCCUUACCGCCAUCAUCAGUCCUUCAACUUGCGAAGAUGAAAAGCAGCAUGAAUCCAAGAAGGAACUAAUUAAUUUUUUCCAAGACUGAUUUGUUUUUUGUAUCUUCGCUCCAAGUUUGUAUCUCCACCAUGUUCACUUGGACAAUGUUUAUAUGUACCUUCCAAGAUCACCCAAGAAAAUUAGACAUUCUGAAAUCUUCAUCGGAUGUUUGAUUCCAUUUUUGCUAUAAAAUAGACUAAAUAGGCUAUGACAUUAUCUUCUCUAUGAAGAAGUUGUUCAUCCA